rnacentral:tRNA from 1 species
GCGGGUGUAGUUCAGUGGUAGAACACAAGCCUUCCAAGCUUGAUACGUCGGUUCGAUCCCGAUCGCCCGCUCCA